AAGCCGUCCUUCGCCUCGAUUU
rnacentral:rRNA from 8 species